rnacentral:rRNA from 1 species
UACGAAGGGUCCAAGCGUUAUCCGGAUUCAUUGGGUUUAAAGGGUGCGCAGGCGGGGCCUUAAGUCAGUGGUGAAAUCCCGUAGCUCAACUACGGAACUGCCAUUGAUACUGAGGUUCUUUGAAUGUAGUUGACGUUAGUGGAAUGUGUCAUGUAGCGGUGAAAAUGCUUAGAUAUGACACAGAACACCAUCGCGAAGGCAGCUAACGAAGCUAUUAUUGACGCUCAGGCACGACAGCAUGGGGAGCAAACAGG